rnacentral:rRNA from 1 species
UCUUCCACAAUGGACGAAAGUCCGAUGGAGCAACGCCGCGUGAGUGAAGAAGGCUUUCUGGUCGUAAAGCUCUGUUACUGAAGAAGAACGUGUGUGAGAGUAACUGCUCAUACAGCGACGGUAUUCAACCAGAAAGUCACGGCUAACUACGUGCUAGCAGCCGCGGUAAUACGUAGGUGGCAAGCGUUGUCCGGAUUUAUUGGGCGUAAAGCGAGUGCAGGCGGUUUUUUAAGCCUGAUGUGAAAGCCUUCGGCUUAACCGAAGAAGUGCAUCGGAAACUGGGAAACUUGAGUGCAGAAGAGGAGAGUGGAACUCCAUGUGUAGCGGUGAAAUGCGUAGAUAUAUGGAAGAACACCAGUGGCGAAGGCGGCUCUCUGGUCUGUAACUGACGCUGAGGCUCGAAAGCGUGGGUAGCAAACAGG